GAAGCGAACGCGGUGAACUGAAACAUCUAAGUAACCGCAGGAAAAGAAAUCAACCGAGAUUCCCAAAGUAGUGGCGAGCGAAAUGGGAUGAGCCUUGCACUCUUUAUUUGUAUUGUUAGCCGAACGCUCUGGAAAGUGCGGCCAUAGCAGGUGAUAGCCCUGUAGGCGAAAACAGUAUGAAAGAACUAGGUGUGCGACAAGUAGGGCGGGACACGUGAAAUCCUGUCUGAAGAUGGGGGGACCAUCCUCCAAGGCUAAAUACUCGUGAUCGACCGAUAGUGAACCAGUACCGUGAGGGAAAGGCGAAAAGAACCCCGGGAGGGGAGUGAAAUAGAUCCUGAAACCGCAUGCAUACAAACAGUCGGAGCCUCGUAAGGGGUGACGGCGUACCUUUUGUAUAAUGGGUCAGCGACUUACGUUCAGUAGCAAGCUUAACCGUAUAGGGCAGGCGUAGCGAAAGCGAGUCCGAAUAGGGCGUUCAGUUGCUGGGCGUAGACCCGAAACCAAGUGAUCUAUCCAUGGCCAGGAUGAAGGUGCGGUAACACGUACUGGAGGUCCGAACCCACUAACGUUGAAAAGUUAGGGGAUGAGCUGUGGAUAGGGGUGAAAGGCUAAACAAACUUGGAAAUAGCUGGUUCUCUCCGAAAACUAUUUAGGUAGUGCCUCGUGUCUCACCUUCGGGGGUAGAGCACUGUCAUGGUUGGGGGGUCUAUUGCAGAUUACCCCGCCAUAGCAAACUCCGAAUACCGAAGAGUGCAAUCACGGGAGACAGACAUCGGGUGCUAACGUCCGGUGUCAAGAGGGAAACAACCCAGACCGCCAGCUAAGGUCCCCAAAUAUAGCUAAGUGGGAAACGAAGUGGGAAGGCUAAAACAGUCAGGAGGUUGGCUUAGAAGCAGCCACCCUUUAAAGAAAGCGUAAUAGCUCACUGAUCGAGUCGUCCUGCGCGGAAGAUGUAACGGGGCUAAGCUAUAUACCGAAGCUGCGGAUGCG
rnacentral:rRNA from 1 species